GCUAAGCAUGUGUUGACUUUCAAAGAAGGGAAAUAGUAAAGUGUGUCAUCUGCUCCUGGAGAAGGUCUCACAGAGUGGACAUUAUGAAUUGUGUGGCAGGAAUGAGGUCAUUAAAAAGAUGAAAGGGGCCGGGACCCAGGGCUUGGAGUCUAGGGGUAGGCAGCUUCCUUCCAGUGUCACAGAGAGAAGACACAGGAGAGAUGGGGAAGAGCCUCGGGGUGUUCAAUUUGCUGGUGACAGGGUCUGGCUCACGGUCAACACAUCUCGGUGGGUGUUGACCAAUUCUCCACUGGAUACCAAGGCCAAGCGCCCUCCCAGUGAUCCCCUGAGGAGCCUUUGCAUGUGGAGCAAAUGUGAUGUCGUCUCUAAACCUUUGCCCUGUGCCUUUAUGGAAGGCUAUCGCUCACCUACUCAAGCCACCUGCUGUAUCCAUUGCACAGCGAGCAGUGGGGAGAGACAUGAUCAAGUUCCUCUAAGUCUCUAGGGGCUGCCAGAACAACAGACAUAUUUUGUUCAUUAUUAUUUGUUCAAGAAUAGCAAUAGUCUUCUGGGUUCUUGUUUUGUGAGGGUUGCUGGUUCCUGUGAAGCCUCUUUCACCUGUUCCUUCUGAUUUCAGUUUAAAUGCUUGCAUAUCCCACACAUCUCUGGGUGUAUCUUAUGUGCCAGGAGACUUGUGGGAGCUUCCACAAACAUUUCAUCUUGUUUUAAGUAAGAAGAAGUUACUCUCCUUCCCCAUGUUUCAGAAGGUGAAGCUGGAGCUCGGAAUCCAGGUGACUUGCUAGGUGUCACACAGACGUACCAGGGACAGGAACCGGGUCAUCUAGUUUCAAUCCCACUCUUUCCCUUUUAAGAAGUGAGCACAUGGGAAGUGGAACAUGUACAGGAAAAUAUACUACUUCUGGCGGUGGGAAGUGAGCAAAAGUAAAUACAAAGGCAUACUUUAUUAAGUGCAUGAGCAAUCCUUUUUAUUAGAACACAUGGAAAACAAAGAUGAUAAAAGGAUUUUUCACUCCCUGGACGUUAUUGAACUUCAAGCAAAAUGCUGCAUAUCAUCUGGUGACCAGGUGGAGUCUCACUCUGUCCCCCAGGCUGGAGUGCAGUGGAG